GGUUCGUACAAAACACAGGGGGCGACCAAGAAACCCCCAUCAAACCCUACUUCAUGUAAAUUGCUCAAAUUGAAGACCAAAUUCAGUUCCAAAUCGAUUUCCAAGCACGAAAUUGUGAUCUCCUCUAAAAAGGGAUCAUAAGGUAAGGAAUCCGGAUCGUCAAGUGGACAAGCCGGCGGAGAUACGCGUUUGAAGAGGGUGCUUUAAAGGUAUGGAUGAGGACCUCUCGGAUGAUGAUCAAGUACAUUGUAAGGAACCGAACACGUAUUUUGAAGCUUCCGC